rnacentral:rRNA from 1 species
AUUGAACGCUGGCGGCAGGCCUAACACAUGCAAGUCGAACGGUAGCACAGAGGGCUUGCUCUCGGGUGACGAGUGGCGGACGGGUGAGUAAUGUCUGGGGAACUGCCUGAUGGAGGGGGAUAACUACUGGAAACGGUAGCUAAUACCGCAUAACGUCGCAGGACCAAAGAGGGGGACCUUCGGGCCUCUUGCCAUCAGAUGUGCCCAGAUGGGAUUAGCUAGUAGGUGGGGUAACGGCUCACCUAGGCGACGAUCCCUAGCUGGUCUGAGAGGAUGACCAGCCACACUGGAACUGAGACACGGUCCAGACUCCUACGGGAGGCAGCAGUGGGGAAUAUUGCACAAUGGGCGCAAGCCUGAUGCAGCCAUGCCGCGUGUAUGAAGAAGGCCUUCGGGUUGUAAAGUACUUUCAGCGGGGAGGAAGGUGUUGAGGUUAAUAACCUCAGCAAUGACGUACCCGCAGAGAGCCC